rnacentral:miRNA from 1 species
UUAUUAGACUUGUUACAAGGUUGUUCCAACAAGUCUGAUACAGUCAUGAUAUAACAAGAUUUUUGCAAGAUUGACGACACAAGAUCGUAACAAUAUUGUUAUAUCAUGACUACAUUGGACUUGUUGGAACAACCUUGCAACAAGUCUGAUAA